rnacentral:rRNA from 1 species
CCUACGGGAGGCAGCAGUGAGGAAUAUUGGUCAAUGGACGACAGUCUGAACCAGCCAAGUAGCGUGAAGGAUGACUGCCCUAUGGGUUUUAACCUUCUUUUAUAUGGGAAUAAAAUGUUCCACGUGUGGGAUUUUGUAUGUACCAUAUGAAUAAGGAUCGGCUCACUCCGUUCCAGAAGCCGCGGUAAUACGGAGGAUCCGAGCGUUAUCCGGAUUUAUUGGGUUUAAAGGGAGCGUAGGUGGAUUGUUAAGUCAGUUGUGAAAUUUUGCGGCUCAACCUUAAAAUUGCAGUUGAAACUGGCAGUCUUGAGUACAGUAGAGGUGGGCGGAAUUCGUGGUGUAGCGGUGAAAUGCUUAGAUAUCACGAAGAACUCCGAUUGCGAAGGCAGCUCACUGGACUGCAACUGACACUGAGGCUCGAAAGUGUGGGUAUCAAACAGGAUUAGAUACCCUGGUAGUC